rnacentral:rRNA from 1 species
GAUGAACGCUGGCGGCGUGCUUAACACAUGCAAGUCGAACGGGAAACCUUUUAUUGAAGCUUCGGCAGAUUUAGCUGGUUUCUAGUGGCGGACGGGUGAGUAACGCGUGGGUAACCUGCCUUAUACAGGGGGAUAACAACCAGAAAUGGUUGCUAAUACCGCAUAAGCGCACAGGACCGCAUGGUCCUGUGUGAAAAACUCCGGUGGUAUAAGAUGGACCCGCGUUGGAUUAGCUAGUUGGCAGGGUAACGGCCUACCAAGGCGACGAUCCAUAGCCGGCCUGAGAGGGUGAACGGCCACAUUGGGACUGAGACACGGCCCAGACUCCUACGGGAGGCAGCAGUGGGGAAUAUUGCACAAUGGGGGAAACCCUGAUGCAGCGACGCCGCGUGAAGGAAGAAGUAUCUCGGUAUGUAAACUUCUAUCAGCAGGGAAGAUAGUGACGGUACCUGACUAAGAAGCCCCGGCUAACUACGUG